rnacentral:lncRNA from 1 species
GAAUAGCUGAGAGGCGCACCCGGGCGGCCAGCUGGGCUCGGAGUGCAGCGGGGUUAGGAUGGACGAGGACGUGUUGCACCCUGAAGAGCCUCAUCAUCGGUGAGAGUGGGGUGGGCAAGUCCAGCCUGCUCUUGAGGUUCACAGAUGAUACCUUUGAUCCAGAACUUGCAGCAACAAUAGACAAUGCAGGAAUCACAUGAACCUGUCCAUCCACAGAUAAAGUGGUAAAGAAACUGCCGUAUUAGAUACAUGAUGGUAUACUCUUCAGCCAUAAAGCUUCGGGAAACCCUGUCAUCCGCAACCACGUGGAGAAACCUGUCCAUCCACAGAUGAAGGGAUCAGGAAGCUCUGAUCCAUCUUCGGUUGUGAAUCCGGCCCGGAAUGCAGCCACCCCUUAGAGCAACCCCCCUUGCUGCUCGUGCCCUGCUGUGCUACUGCCUCAGUCACUUCCUGCUUGGUCAAGACCACAGCUGCUGAUGUCACAGCUGAGGCACAUCAGAAAGGCUGCCUGAUUCAAAGAAAGCUGCCGGAUAAAUCAUAGAGCACAGACACUUCUACCUCAUGCUCUUAUGGGACUUUAGGAACCAAACAUAAGCACCUAUGGAAAAUGCACGGCGGUCUUGAAAGGCUGUGGUCUUUAUCAGAAAAUAUCUGAAUGACUGUUUGUUAUGUCAGUCCUACUCUGCAGGCUUGCUAAGAUGAUGAUUGAAAGGGCUCUUGGUUUCUGCUUUGGAAUCUGGCAUUUAUGUUUUGAAGCGUUGUGAGCAAGCGAUGUGGCAGAUUGCAGGGUGAGGGGGACAAACCUGGGCCAGGAGCCAGGGGUUUCUCUACCCCCUUCCCUGACUUACAGCUGGAACUGGGCUCAGUGGUUUCAGCCUCAUUUGCUAAGAAGGUCUGGGUAUGUAAUCCUGGCUGCAUCUUAAAAUCCCUAGGAGCUUUUAAGACAUAUUGACACAUAAGCUCUAACUCACAUGAAACGAAAACACAUCUCUGGGGCUGGGCUGAGCAAAUGCAUUUUUUAAAAGGCCCCUCAGGUGAUUCUGUCUCAGAGAUGUUGAAAACCAGUGGGUUAGGAGCUCAGUCAUCCACUUUCAGAUCUGUGAUUAUGCCACUAUUAAAUACAGUUGGCUAUCACAUAGAUUUUAUGCUUUAGCUUGUUCUUUUUUCCUUUGCUAUACCAAAUAAAAUCUUCUGAGCUGUAGUUCCAGUCCUUAAAAUAAUGGUUGUUACCAUACUGAGGUUAAACAUUAGUGCAUUUGCUUAACAAGGACUUUAAAACUUAUCACACUGCCAUAAUUUUUAAUGGUUUCUAUAAUGAUUAAUUAAUAAGAAAAUCAAUAAUUGGAUUUUAAGCAGGAAACUAGGCAGGAAAGUUGAAAUUCAUAGACCAAUUCAAUGGAAAACAUUAAAAUGUAUUGGGAGAUGCCCAAUAUUC